CACGUAGGGUGCGAGCGUUGUCCGGAAUCAUUGGGCGUAAAGCGCGUGUAGGCGGCCCGGUAAGUCCGCUGUGAAAGUCGGGGGCUCAACCCUCGGAUGCCGGUGGAUACUGUCGGGCUCGAGUACGGAAGAGGCGAGUGGAAUUCCUGGUGUAGCGGUGAAAUGCGCAGAUAUCAGGAGGAACACCAAUUGCGAAGGCAGCUCGCUGGGACGUUACUGACGCUGAGACGCGAAAGCGUGGGGAGCAAACAGG
rnacentral:rRNA from 1 species